GAGGUUGUGGCUCAGUGGUAGAGCAAUUGCCAAGCACACGUGUGGACCUGGGUUUGAUUCUCAGCACCCUCA
rnacentral:tRNA from 1 species